GGGCAGAGUUUGAAACUCUGCCCUAAAUCGAAACGGGACUGCGUAGACAGUAGUAGUGUUUCUACGUUUCAAACUCUGCCCUAUAGGGGAGUUUAGGGCAGAGUUUGAAACUCUGCCCUAAUUAUUAGGGCAGAGUUUGACUCUGCCCUAUAG